AACAGAGGGUGCAAACGUUGCUCGGAAUCAUUGGGCGUAAAGAGCGUGUAGGCGGCUCGAUAAGUCCGCUGUAAAAGUCCAGGGCUCAACCCUGGGAUGCCGGUGGAAACUGUCGGGCUAGAGUCCGGGAGAGGCGAGUGGAAUUCCUGGUGUAGCGGUGAAAUGCGCAGAUAUCAGGAGGAACACCAAUGGCGAAGGCAGCUCGCUGGAACGGUACUGACGCUGAGACGCGAAAGCGUGGGGAGCAAACAGG
rnacentral:rRNA from 1 species